UACGUAGGGUGCAAGCGUUGUCCGGAAUUAUUGGGCGUAAAUAGCUCGUAGGCGGUCUGUUGCGUCGGCUGUGAAAACCCGGGGCUCAACUCCGGGCCUGCAGCCGAUACGGGCAGACUAGAGUUCGGCAGGGGAGACUGGAAUUCCUGGUGUAGCGGUGAAAUGCGCAGAUAUCAGGAGGAACACCGGUGGCGAAGGCGGGUCUCUGGGCCGAUACUGACGCUGAGGAGCGAAAGCGUGGGGAGCGAACAGG
rnacentral:rRNA from 1 species